GGACAUCAGGAGGUUAGUGCAAUGGCAUAAGCCAGCUUGACUGCGAGCGUGACGGCGCGAGCAGGUGCGAAAGCAGGUCAUAGUGAUCCGGUGGUUCUGAAUGGAAGGGCCAUCGCUCAACGGAUAAAAGGUACUCCGGGGAUAACAGGCUGAUACCGCCCAAGAGUUCAUAUCGACGGCGGUGUUUGGCACCUCGAUGUCGGCUCAUCACAUCCUGGGGCUGAAGUAGGUCCCAAGGGUAUGGCUGUUCGCCAUUUAAAGUGGUACGCGAGCUGGGUUUAGAACGUCGUGAGACAGUUCGGUCCCUAUCUGCCGUGGGCGCUGGAGAACUGAGGGGGGCUGCUCCUAGUACGAGAGGACCGGAGUGGACGCAUCACUGGUGUUCGGGUUGUCAUGCCAAUGGCACUGCCCGGUAGCUAAAUGCGGAAGAGAUAAGUGCUGAAAGCAUCUAAGCACGAAACUUGCCCCGAGAUGAGUUCUCCCUGAGACUUUAGGUCUCCUGAAGGAACGUUGAAGACGACGACGUUGAUAGGCCGGGUGUGUAAGCGCAGCGAUGCGUUGAGCUAACCGG
rnacentral:rRNA from 1 species